UACGUAGGGUGCAAGCGUUAAUCGGAAUUACUGGGCGUAAAGCGUGCGCAGGCGGUUCGCUAAGACAGAUGUGAAAUCCCCGGGCUUAACCUGGGAACUGCAUUUGUGACUGGCGGGCUAGAGUAUGGCAGAGGGGGGUAGAAUUCCACGUGUAGCAGUGAAAUGCGUAGAGAUGUGGAGGAAUACCGAUGGCGAAGGCAGCCCCCUGGGCCAAUACUGACGCUCAUGCACGAAGCGUGGGGAGCAAACAGG
rnacentral:rRNA from 1 species